rnacentral:rRNA from 1 species
GAUGAACGCUAGCGGCAGGCUUAAUACAUGCAAGUCGUGGGGCAGCAGGGGUGUAGCAAUACAUCUGCUGGCGACCGGCAAACGGGUGCGUAACACGUACGCAACCUUCCCGUUACUGUGGCAUAGCCCAGGGAAACUUGGAUUAAUACCACAUAUUAUAUUGAGGGGGCAUCCCUUUGAUAUCAAAGCUUCGGCGGUAACGGAUGGGCGUGCGGUUGAUUAGGUAGUUGGCGGGGUAACGGCCCACCAAGCCUACGAUCAAUAGCUGAUGUGAGAGCAUGAUCAGCCACACGGGCACUGAGACACGGGCCCGACUCCUACGGGAGGCAGCAGUAAGGAAUAUUGGGCAAUGGACGAAAGUCUGACCCAGCCAUGCCGCGUGAAGGAUUAAGGUCCUCUGGAUUGUAAACUUCUUUUCUCUGGGGCGAAAACCAGCUAUUCUUAGCUAUUUGACAGUACCAGAGGAAUAAGCACCGGCUAACUCCGUGCCAGCCGCCGCAGUAACAC